GCACCCCUCAGUGCAGCAACAGUGCUCCUAUCCCUGGCCUUGAAAGCCUCAGAACUUUAUAGUAACAAUAGCUGCCAGCUGCCUGGGAGCAGUUUAAAAGUGGCAGCAGCACAGAUGACCUGAGGAAGAGCUCUCUGGUUGACACUUUGCCUUAUUCCCUGGAUGCCGUUCAGCUUGCUACUCACCCACUUCCUACUGGAUUGUCAGAAAAUGUGAGACAUUUGUCAUCAGCUGUUUCCUUUCCUCCAGCUCUGGGAUUUCCCAGCAUAUUUCAGAAAAACUCGCUUAAAACCAGCAUUUAAAAAACCUGGAAAUACAUUGGGACAAGCUAGAAAUCAGAAGAGAAAGCCUGAUUUGUGUGUGGGUGCUUCCAAAGAUCUCAAAUGGACUUUGGGGAACAGGGAUGUAAGAAAACAGGACAGAUCCUCUGCUUAGCUUCUGUGGCCACAACCUGAGGCAGUGGCACUGCUUUCUGCAGGUGUUGGAUAUCUUUUCUGUUGCUAGAAGGAAGAUACAGAAAGGGCCAUUCAGGGCCUUUCAAGUUUGGCAUCACUUCUAUGGAAGGAAAAAAAAAGAGAGAAAAGAGCCUUUGUUCUCCACAGCUGUCGUCAUGCUGUAGAAAAAUCUCAGCGCAGGAAAUAAAUCCAUCACCGGCUUCAGGGGGAAAGAAGGGAAAAAACGAACCUCUCUUCUCAGUGUGUUUCAAGGCAAAGGUGGAAGCAACCCGGCAGGGAUGGCGCAGUGCACAUGCCGGCCAGCUCUUUAGACACUGAGGAAGCCUUUGUGGCCAUAGGCAGUGGGGAUCCCUUGUCUUCUCCGGUUGGAACUGGCCAAGCGGGAAUGCCAGGCCCCUCCUCCUCUGGAUAGGCUUUCUGUGUGAGAGACAAGGAUUACCAGAAAGCUCUGAGAAAGAAGGAGACCACAGGGCCAACUUCUCAUCUCAAAUGAAGGAGGAAACCCUGUUUAGGUGCGCUCGUGACCUUUGAAAAUGCCAGUUGAAGUCUUCCAAAAUGGCCCCAAAGAAGUCAGUGAUCAUGUUCUAAAACACUGACAGAUCUGAUGCCUGUUUAUUCAGAAGUAAACCCCACUGAGUGCAGUGGAACUUACUCCCCAGUAAAUAGGCACAGGAUCACACUCUAAAGCACUAGUUUAGUGGUGAAAAACAAAAAUACGGCAUGUAUGCUGAUGUGCUAAAAGAAGGGCAAUUGCUUACUGUUCUGUAUUUUGUUUUUAAAAGUUGUACCUUGUUUUUCUUUCUAAGAAAAGUGGGGAGGACAACAGGAGCCCAAGGUGGUUCACAAACCCUCCCAUAAAAACAGAAACAAUCAUAUAGUAAAGCAUUCACAAAAACACUGUAAAUGUAAAACAACAAAUUCCAGAUCAUUAAACCAACAGU